GAAGCAAAGCCGCGAGGUAGAGCAAAUCUCAAAAAAACAAUCUCAGUUCAGACUGCAGGCUGCAACUCGCCUGCACGAAGUCGGAAUUGCUAGUAAUCGUAGGUCAGCAUACUACGGUGAAUACGUUCCCGGGCCUUGUACACACCGCCCGUCAAACCAUGAGAGUUGGCAACACCCGAAGUCGGUAGUCCAACCGCAAGGAGGACGCCGCCGAAGGUGGGGUUGAUGAUUAGGGUUAAGUCGUAACAAGGUAUC
rnacentral:rRNA from 1 species